rnacentral:lncRNA from 1 species
UCUCAUGAACCAUUCUGGAUAUAACUUUAUUUAUAAAGGAACUAAGACUUAUGGGUCUUAAAUCAUUGAAAUGAUUUGCUGAUACCUUUUUGGGUAACAACACCAAGUUUGUAUGAGUUACAAACUUGGGCAGCUCUUGGCCACAAAAGAAAGCCCUCACCACCUUAGUAAUAUCUUCUCCAAUUAUCUCCCAACAACUUUGAAAGAAAUGACCAGUAAAGCCAUCUGGCCCAAAUGCGCUACUUCCAUUUAGCCCGAAAACCACUUUUUUAACUUCAUCUUGAUCAGGAAUCUUUGUCAUUACUUCAUUUUCUGCAUUGGUUAUGCA